GUGCCAGCAGCCGCGGUAAUACGUAGGUGGCAAGCGUUGUCCGGAUUUAUUGGGCGUAAAGCGAGCGCAGGCGGUUUGGUAAGUCUGAUGUGAAAGCUCCCGGCUCAACCGGGGAGGGUCGUUGGAAACUGGGAGACUUGAGUGCAGUAGAGGAGAGUGGAAUUCCAGGUGUAGCGGUGAAAUGCGUAGAUAUAUGGAGGAACACCAGUGGCGAAGGCGGCUCUCUGGUCUGUAACUGACGCUGAGGCGCGAAAGCGUGGGGAGCAAACAGGAUUAGAAACCCUCGUAGUCC
rnacentral:rRNA from 1 species